AACGAACGCUGGCGGCAUGCCUAACACAUGCAAGUCGAACGAGACCUUCGGGUCUAGUGGCGCACGGGUGCGUAACGCGUGGGAACCUGCCCUUAGGUUCGGAAUAACUCCCCGAAAGGGGUGCUAAUGCCGGAUAAUGUCUUCGGACCAAAGAUUUAUCGCCUUUGGAUGGGCCCGCGUUGGAUUAGCUAGUUGGUAGGGUAAAAGCCUACCAAGGCGACGAUCCAUAGCUGGUCUGAGAGGAUGAUCAGCCACACUGGGACUGAGACACGGCCCAGACUCCUACGGGAGGCAGCAGUGGGGAAUAUUGGACAAUGGGCGAAAGCCUGAUCCAGCAAUGCCGCGCGAGUGAUGAAGGCCUUAGGGUUGUAAAGCUCUUUUACCCGGGAUGAUAAUGACAGUACCGGGAGAAUAAGCUCCGGCUAACUCCGUG
rnacentral:rRNA from 1 species